rnacentral:rRNA from 1 species
UACAGAGGGGGCGAGCGUUGUUCGGAAUUACUGGGCGUAAAGGGCGCGUAGGCGGCCUUCUAAGUCGAACGUGAAAUCCCCGGGCUCAACCCGGGAACUGCGUCCGAUACUGGGAGGCUUGAAUUCGGGAGAGGGAUGUGGAAUUCCAGGUGUAGCGGUGAAAUGCGUAGAUAUCUGGAGGAACACCGGUGGCGAAGGCGGCAUCCUGGACCGAGAUUGACGCUGAUGCGCGAAAGCCAGGGGAGCAAACGGG